GCCCGGGUGGCGGAACUGGUAGACGCGCACGACUCAAACUCGUGUUCCGCAAGGAGUGUCGGUUCGAUCCCGACCCCGGGUA
rnacentral:tRNA from 1 species